rnacentral:rRNA from 1 species
UACGUAGGGUGCAAGCGUUAAUCGGAAUUACUGGGCGUAAAGCGUGCGCAGGCGGUUGUGCAAGACAGAUGUGAAAUCCCCGGGCUCAACCCGGGAAGUGCACUCGAUACUGCCAAGCUAGAGUAUCGGAGAGGUUGGUGGAAUUCUCGGUGUAGAGGUGAAAUUCGUAGAUAUCGAGAGGAACACCGGUGGCGAAGGCGGCCAACUGGACGAAUACUGACGCUGAGACUCGAAAGCGUGGGGAGCAAACAGG